rnacentral:lncRNA from 1 species
GAAAUUCACCAGAGUUCCAAGCCGCAUCAACAUUUAGUUUCAAGUACGGCUUCGUCAGGGGAACCCAUCGAGCAGGUGAGUCCCGGUGAUAUUGCUCUGAAAUUUUUUUCCCCUUGUUGCGACUAACCGAAUCGAGUUGUUUUUGUGUCGUGGUGCUCAGAUCUGCCGGGGGAAUCCAUCGAGCAGGUGAAUCCCAGUGAUGUGGCUCUGAAAUUGUUUUCCCCUUGCUGCGACUAACCGGAGCGAGUUGUUCAUGUGCCUUGGUGUUCAAAUCUACUGGCUUCGUUGGGGAAAUCCCUCUAAUAGAUGAGUCCCAGUGAUGUUGCUUUGAAAUUUUUUUCCCCUUACUGCGACUAACCGGAACGAAUUGCUCCUUUGCCGUGGUGAUUAGAUCUGCUGGUUGUGGGUUUAUUCCGCGGAAGAUCCAGUGGUUUCUCGCCCUCCAUAUGUUCCAAAGAAGCAGGGUCGUCAUUUCUCGAGCUAGUAAAGAGGUUUUACCUCGAAACGCUUCCGUGAGCCACAGAUUUGAGCGUUGAAUGUGUUUAGUUGGCCGAAUCUCUGCAUAUCUCGAAUCUUGCCAUCCAUUGACACAAGAAGAACAAAUGCUCUGUUGUUUCGAUGUUGUUGUGACAAAAUGGGUCUUGAACGAUCUUUCUUUGGUGCAGAUUUUCUCUGGUUGGGAGAGCAUUUUGACACAAGCUCCAGAGGAACGUUUGGAUUUUAGGAAAGACAUCAAGGCUCCAGAUUUUAUUCCACAAGGUGCGUGGCUGUUGGUAGGAACUAGAGGGUUUCUGGAGCUCUGUUUUAGUAGCUUGUUGAGUUGCAAUAUUGUAGCCACUUUUAACAGAGUACUGUCCCGUUUUGGUGCCUGUCCAGAGUAACAUAUCUGGCUGGGGUUGUUGACUCAGAGGAAUCGCUAAGAUUUCAUUUGCUAUGCUUGGUUCAUAAAGCUGUUGAAUUACCUGCUGCUUCCAUUCACGUGUUUCUGUGUUAAUUAGUUUUGACACCUAAAAGGGUUCUAUUUGGGAUGCUUGGUUUCUCUGCCAAUCAUGAGUCCCUGCCAUCCCCAAGAUGAUCUGCGGCCCUUAGCUGCUGUCCACACAUCGCCAUGAGGAAAAUAAAUUCCUUUAAGGAGGCGACUCCAGAGUGCUGUUGGGGAAGUGGCCAAUCUCCAGAGUUGCUUUUCAAGCAUAGCUCUGAAGGUAAGCAAAUCCUUUAAUCCCAGCCCACCAUUAUUUUUUCUAGUUUUUAAUAUUUCCCAUCGUUUCCAAUGCAAUCCCCUUUUGGCAUCUCCUUUUUGCCACCAAAAUGACGCUGUUGGUUUCUCUAUGGCUUUGUAGAUAGAAACAGGGAUCUUGAAUAUAGACAUCGCAUAGGUAGGAAUGGACUGCACUACGCUUUUUAUCAAGACCUCCUUUCCUGCCUUGGUAAGCAAUUUCUCUUUCCAGCCUUCUUAUUUAGAGUUCACUUUGGCUAGAAUCCAGCUAAACAAUUCUCGCUUAGAGUUGCCCACUCUGUAGGAAUACCCAAAUAUCUACCUGUUUUCUCCAAUACAUUUACUCUCAUCUCUGUGGCCAUAUUCAUUUUUAAAUGAUCUGGACACUGUGCACUGAAGUAGAUCCCUGAUUUAUUUAAAUUAAUGGCUUGCCCUGUAGCAUUUUCCUAGUUCACUGCAUCAAAUUGAAUGCCUUUCCUCGUUUUGUUGAUGCUAUUCGUCUUCCAAAUAUGUCAUGUAAAUCUUACUCCUGUUUUCGGCAUCAUGGAGAGGCUCAUAUUGCCAAAGUUCCCACAAUUUCCAGGAAUCGUUAUAUCUGUGUGCAUAUCGUCACAUUGAGAAUAAAAAGUGAUAGAAUGGAAUGAACAUUAGCAUAUAUAUCAAUGAAUAUGGCAAUAGAUCUUGUGAUUGUUCUCAUUAACUCAUUAUUCGGAGCAGAAGUUCUUGUUCUCCUCAAGGAUCUGUGUAACUGUUCAAAUGAAUCCAUUUCAAGGAAUCUAUGUCGAAACCUCGUCGCAAAGUAGUCAUGAUACGUUUUUUUUUUUUUUUUUUUUUUUUUCGGGUAUGGGUAGUCAUGAUAUGUCCUUGAAAAUAAAAUAAAAAAACAAUACUGAGAAUGUCCUUAUAGAACAUUAAGAACCGAAAAAAUAUCCUGUCGAAGUGGUUAUAAGAGGAAAAAAAAUACCUUAUAUGUUAAUGAACAUUGACCAUAAUAAGAGGGAUACUAGCAAUAAAUUUUUAAAUUUAUUAUACUUAUACUAUCUAAUCAUGAACCUUUCAAUUUGGCAAAUUUGAAAUUAACCAAUUUGACAAUUUACUAAUGUAGUCCAUCCGGUCACUUUUGAUUAGAAGUUGUUGACAUGGAGGCAAGCUAUUAUAUGUAGUAUGGCCGACGUUGACGAAGGACCCCCUCUCACCAAAUCCGGCCAGGCCAAUCAUCGUCGGGCCUCACUCGAAUGUGGGCGACGGCCACCCUCGCUGGAUUGGGCGAGGCUCAGCAAGGACCCUCGUCAACGAAUCCUAUGGACGAUAGCCAGCAACCAGCCAUUCCCUAAAAGAAAAGGGAAAAAACAAACAAAGAAAAGAAAUCCAAAAAAUUAUCAAAAAAUCGUAACAAUUGUCUAUAUCAAUACUAGCCAUUGACAUAAAAUGGCUAGCAUCAACAUCAAUGAUUUCUAAUUAAAAUUUAUUAGAUGGACUAUAGUGGUAAAUCAUCAAAGGUUAUGUUUGGUAGUCCAGAUUUUUAAUCAUGAUAGGAAUAUAUAAAAUAAGGUAUGAAAUUCAUGAAUUUUGUUACAUCCUAUCAACUAUUUGGUGAUUGCAAUAAUAAAGUCAAAUAUAUUCACAUAUGUCAUGUAAAUUGUUUGGUAUAAAAAGUAUAUUAGUAUAAAUGAACCAAAAAUUUUACAAACGGAAAUAGUAAAAUCUCUCACAACACUAUUUUAAUUUUCCUUAUUCUUUAAUUAAUUAAUUUUUUUCUUUCUAUCUUCCCCUUCCCCCAUUCUCUAAUAAAAUUUUAUUAUAUAGUAAACUGUACUAAUAUACCAAAAAAGCUACAAUACCUAAAAUAUCUAAAAAUAUAUUGAAAUUAAAUUAUAAAAUAGAAUUAAAUUCGAAUUAUAAAAUUAAAUUCAAAUAACUAUUUUUUUUGUUUUUUUGAAUUUAUUAUAUUAUAAUUCAAAUUUAUUUAAGUUGAAAAAUAAUAUUAAUUUUGCUAAUUUAAGAAAUUUUGUUAUUUGAGAAAAAUAACUUUCCUAUUUUAGAUAUUUUAAAUCAUAUCCACAUUUAUCAUAUCUCCUUAAUGGGAUAAUAUUAUUCAUUUUAUAUCCCCCUUAUAUGCAUUUUUCUUCUAUCUUGAGUAAGUAGUAAAUGCAAGAUACGUAUUCCGAAUUUUAUUCUGAUUGUCAAACGCAGCUAAAAGGUUUUAAGACUUAAUUGGGUAAAUGAAAAGUUUAUAAUUGAAUUUAUAUAAAUGUAAUAAGUUUAUGACUUUUUUUAGUAAUUUCGAUCCAUAAUAAGGUAUAUGCUGUCUAGCAACUUUUAUAGUUAUUUAUAUGGAGUUUUCCCUUUCAUUCAAUUGACGGUGGAAUUUGGAUUCUACUGGCGGUGGACGAUAUAAUAACCCCUAGGACAAAUAAUUAUUAAUUCCAAAAUGCUUCGUGGCAAGCCAUAGAGAAAGCAUGCGCCAUUUAUGGAUGGCCGUGCAACACAAAUUCCAAACUUAUGAAGCUAGCGACGUUGUUUUGUUCUCUUAUGUCAGUUUCUUUCCAUCAUUUCUUACCAUCUCUAGGCUGCUUGGAGACACGAGUUGAGUAGGGAAAUGGCAACACCCAAGGGGUACAGUAGGUUUUGGGGCCUCUCCUGUAUGUUAUCAUAGGGAAAAUACUCGCUCGGAAAGUUCACGACUUUAUUCAUCGACAUGGUCAUCAUCAGCUUCGCGAUGCUGAUUUCACACACGAUAAGCAAACAACAUUACAGAACCAUGCAACAUUAAUUCAAGCCAUUUAUUUAUCCAUCAUAAUCACCAACAAGCGGCCUCCACGUUGGUGUUAUCAGGUGCUAUUCAGAGAUCAGCUUCAUGAGAGCCUGCAUAAAGAAAGCCCAAGCACCAUCAGCACUUGGAGACGUACGCGAUUUAUGAUCGAAACCAAAGAGAAUAAUCGUCGAGAUCAUACCACGAAAGCUUCCUGUGAGAGGUCAAUGGUGCUGCAACACCCCGGGCAAUAGUCGACAAUGUCGGUGAUGCAGUAGACGCAAUGUCUUUACCUAGGUUAGGAUUACCAUCUUUAAUUAUAUUCACAUCGCUCCGAAAAGUAGGCACUUUACCGGAUAAAUUGUUGUAGGAAAUGUCCAGCCUUUUGAGAUUAGGAAGCUUCGCCAGGGACUCAGGGACAACGCCAGUCAACUGGUUAUCCCUCAAGCUGAAAUCCCACAGAUUCUUCAAAUUC